AACGCACAUUGCGCCCUUUGGUAUUCCGAAGGGCAUGCCUGUUCGAGCGUCAUUAUCACCCUUCAAGCCCCGUGCUUGGUGUUGGAACGACCCGGUUGAAUCUUGAUUCGACCCUUCCUAAAGACAAUGACGGCGGCCUGUGGUUCCCCCGGUACACUGAGCUUCUCACCGAGCACGUACUGGAUAAGGGUGCCCGGGUCACGGUCUUUUCUCCCUUUACGAGAAAACAUUUCACCAAGGUUGACCUCGGAUCAGGUAGGAAUACGCGCUGAACUUAA
rnacentral:misc_RNA from 1 species